CCUUUGGGUGGGGAAUAACUCAGGGAAACUUGAGCUAAUACCGCAUAAUGCAGCGGCUCGACAUCGAGACAGUUGUUAAAGCGGGGGAUUGGAGCAAUCCGACCUCGCGCCUAAAGAGAAGCCUGCGGCAGAUUAGCUAGUUGGUAAGGUAAUGGCUUACCAAGGCUACGAUCUGUAACCGGCCUGAGAGGGCGGUCGGUCACACUGACACUGACAUACGGGUCAG
rnacentral:rRNA from 1 species